rnacentral:pre_miRNA from 1 species
AUCCCUAGGGAUCUUGUUAAAAAUGCAGAUUCUGAUUCAGUGGUCGGGUGUGGGGUUAAAAAUUCUGCAUUUGUAACAAGCUCCCAAGUGAUACUGA